CCUACGGGCGGCAGCAGUGGGGGAUAUUGCACAAUGGGGGGAACCCUGAUGCAGCGACGCCGCGUGGGUGAAGAAGCGCCUCGGCGCGUAAAGCCCUGUCAGCAGGGAAGAAAAUGACGGUACCUGAAGAAGAAGCCCCGGCUAACUACGUGCCAGCAGCCGCGGGAAUACGUAGGGGGCAAGCGUUAUCCGGAUUUACUGGGUGUAAAGGGGGCGCAGACGGCGAUGCAAGCCAGGAGUGAAAGCCCGGGGCCCAACCCCGGGACUGCUCUUGGAACUGCGUGGCUGGAGUGCAGGAGGGGCAGGCGGAAUUCCUGGUGGAGCGGUGAAAUGCGUAGAUAUCAGGAGGAACACCGGUGGCGAAGGCGGCCUGCUGGACUGCAACUGACGUUGAGGCCCGAAAGCGUGGGGAGCAAACAGGAUUAGAUACCCGAGUAGUC
rnacentral:rRNA from 1 species